ensembl:lncRNA
CUCAGUGCCCCCUCCAGUUCCUAGCUCUCCCCCUGGUGCCCAUGCUCCCACUUUUUUCCACCUGGUACAGCCUCCUCCUGCUCCCAACCCCGGGGUGCUGGCUUCAGCUUCAGCUGCUGCCUCCUUCCUUGAGGCACCCCAUACCUAUACACCCCUCAACCAGUAUUCCUGAUGCUCCAGGAGCCAUCCCCAAGAUUGAGGAAAGAGAGGAUGGCCUCAGGUGAUUUUAGGACCUUGAAGAACAACCUGGGAGAAGAGAAGACGGGAGACGGAUGUCUUAUGGAUACUGGGGAGGAUCUGGAAACCAGGCAGCAAUCAGGAGAAGGAUGCUCGGAUGAAUUACCUCCAAGUGAAAAAAGGAUGGAGGGAAGAGAAACCAAGGCAACUGGGAGCUUCUUGUCUGUCUACCAGUCUCUCAACACAGCCCCACCAAACCAUUCCUACCCAGGGGCUGAUGAAGGAGACCAUCUCGUGGUUUCUUUUUAAAUUCUGCAAGCUGAAACCAUCCUCUUAAUUCUCAAUGGAAAGCCCAAAUUUGGAAAUUUCAGUGGGAAAGGCUCAUGGGUUGGGAGCAGAGACUGGG